rnacentral:lncRNA from 1 species
CCACAAGGCUUAGCAUCAGCUUCUGCAUCUCCCCAGUGAGCGACAGUUAUUAAAUCUCACAUUUCAAAAAAAAUCAUAAGUCAUUUCCAAAUCAAAACAAUAAAAUAUUACUUUCUGGCUCACAGGGGCAUUUUCGUCAUUUUUCUUCGAAAAUACCAAAACUCGCCAAAAACAUGGUGUAAAAGCUAAAUAUAUUCAUACAUAUUUUAAAUUAAAUAAN